AGAGUUUGAUCCUGGCUCAGGAUGAACGCUAGCGGCAGGCCUAACACAUGCAAGUCGAGGGGUAACAGGUGUAGCAAUACAUGCUGACGACCGGCGCACGGGUGAGUAACGCGUAUGCAACCUACCUUUAACAGGAGGAUAGCCCCGAGAAAUCGGGAUUAAUACUCCAUAAUAUUAUUGAACCGCAUGGUUUAAUAAUUAAAGUUUCGGUGGUAUAAGAUGGGCAUGCGUCUGAUUAGGUAGUUGGUGAGGUAACGGCUCACCAAGCCGACGAUCAGUAGGGGUUCUGAGAGGAUUACCCCCACACUGGUACUGAGACACGGACCAGACUCCUACGGGAGGCAGCAGUGAGGAAUAUUGGUCAAUGGGCGAAAGCCUGAACCAGCCAUGCCGCGUGAAGGAUGAAGGCCUUAUGGGUUGUAAACUUCUUUUAUACGGGAAUAAACUUAGCUAUGUAUAGCUAACUGCAGGUACCGUAUGAAUAAGCACCGGCUAACUCCGUGCCAGCAGCCGCGGUAAUACGGAGGGUGCAAGCGUUAUCCGGAUUUAUUGGGUUUAAAGGGUCCGCAGGCGGACCAAUAAGUCAGUGGUGAAAUCUCUCGGCUCAACCGAGAAACUGCCAUUGAUACUGUUGGUCUAGAGUGUAGUUGGCGUAGGCGGAAUGUAUCAUGUAGCGGUGAAAUGCUUAGAUAUGAUACAGAACACCGAUCGCGAAGGCAGCUUACGAAACUACAACUGACGCUCAGGGACGAAAGCGUGGGGAGCGAACAGGAUUAGAUACCCUGGUAGUCCACGCUGUAAACGAUGAUCACUCGUUGUUUGCGAUAUAUUGUAAGCGACUGAGCGAAAGCAUUAAGUGAUCCACCUGGGGAGUACGGUCGCAAGACUGAAACUCAAAGGAAUUGACGGGGGCCCGCACAAGCGGAGGAGCAUGUGGUUUAAUUCGAUGAUACGCGAGGAACCUUACCUGGGCUUAAAUGCUUAAUGACGUACUGGGAAACCGGUAUUUCUUCGGACAUUUUGCAAGGUGCUGCAUGGUUGUCGUCAGCUCGUGCCGUGAGGUGUCGGGUUAAGUCCCAUAACGAGCGCAACCCCUAUCGUUAGUUGCCAUCAGGUCAUGCUGGGGACUCUAACGAAACUGCCCGCGUAAGCGUGGAGGAAGGUGGGGAUGACGUCAAAUCAGCACGGCCCUUACGUCCAGGGCUACACACGUGCUACAAUGGCCGGUACAGAGGGCAGCCAUCCCGCGAGGGAGAGCAAAUCUCAAAAGCCGGUCUCAGUUCGGAUCGGAGUCUGAAACUCGACUCCGUGAAGUUGGAUUCGCUAGUAAUCGCGCAUCAGCCAUGGCGCGGUGAAUACGUUCCCGGGCCUUGUACACACCGCCCGUCAAACAAUGGAAGCUGGGGGUACCUAAAGUCCGUAACCGUAAGGAGCGGCCUAGGGUAAAACUGGUAACUGGUGUUAAGUCGUAACAAGGUAACC
rnacentral:rRNA from 1 species